rnacentral:tRNA from 8 species
GGUCCCGUAGCUCAGUUGGAUAGAGCAACGGCCUUCUAAGCCGCAGGUCACAGGUUCGAAUCCUGUCGGGAUCG